CGGACGGGUGAGUAACGCGUGGAAAACCUGCCGUAUACUGGGGGAUAACACUUAGAAAUAGGUGCUAAUACCGCAUAAGCGCACAGCUUCGCAUGAAGUGGUGUGAAAAACUCCGGUGGUAUACGAUGGUUCCGCGACUGAUUAGCUUGUUGGUGGGGUAAUGGCUCACCAAGGCGACGAUCAGUAGCCGGCCUGAGAGGGUGAACGGCCACAUUGGGACUGAGACACGGCCCAAACUCCUACGGAAGGCAGCAG
rnacentral:rRNA from 1 species